UUUCGGAAGAAAUAUUUUAUCUCCAAUCUCUCGAGGGUGUAAGUCAUGUCGAAUAUCUAAUUCUAUAAGGUCUCUGCGGCUUUUGAGAUUAUCUUUGCUUUUCAUCUUCACAUUCAUUACUGUAUUGAAAAUAUUAUCAAAAACAUUUUUCUCAACAUGCAUUACAUCAACAUUGUGACGAAAAAGUAAUGAACUCCAAUACGGCAAUUCGAAAAAAAUACUUCUUUUCGUCCAAUUGUGUGUCUUUCCAAAAUUUGNN
rnacentral:lncRNA from 1 species